rnacentral:tRNA from 1 species
GCCCAGGUGGCGGAAUUGGUAGACGCGCUGGUCUCAAACACCAGUGGGGCAACCCGUGCCGGUUCGAUCCCGGCUCUGGGUA